rnacentral:rRNA from 1 species
CAUGGUUCUGAUAUCAAAGAUUUUAUCGCUUGAAGAUGGACUCGCGUCCGAUUAGUUAGUUGGUGAGGUAACGGCUCACCAAGACCGCGAUCGGUAGCCGGACUGAGAGGUUGAACGGCCACAUUGGGACUGAGACACGGCCCAGACUCCUACGGGAGGCAGCAGUGGGGGAUAUUGCGCAAUGGGGGCAACCCUGACGCAGCAACGCCGCGUGAAGGAUGAAGGUUUUCGGAUUGUAAACUUCUUUUAUUAAGGACGAAAAAUGACGGUACUUAAUGAAUAAGCUCCGGCUAACUACGUGCCAGCAGCCGCGGUAAUACGUAGGGAGCAAGCGUUGUCCGGAUUUACUGGGUGUAAAGGGUGCGUAGGCGGCUUUGCAAGUCAGAUGUGAAAUCUAUGGGCUCAACCCAUAAACUGCAUUUGAAACUGUAGAGCUUGAGUGAAGUAGAGGCAGGCGGAAUUCCCCGUGUAGCGGUGAAAUGCGUAGAGAUGGGGAGGAACACCAGUGGCGAAGGCGGCCUGCUGGGCUUUAACUGACGCUGAGGCACGAAAGCGUGGGUAGCAAACAGGAUUAGAUACCCUGGUAGUCCACGCUGU